CGCGUGGCUCGUGGCGAUUUGGACGACCGGAUUGCGGGCCACGUUAAACAAGCCGCUAAAAGGUCGGGCAGGCGCGCCG
rnacentral:ncRNA from 1 species